CUCAGGACGAACGCUGGCGGCGUGCCUAAUACAUGCAAGUUGAGCGAUGAAGAUUGGUGCUUGCACCAAUUUGAAGAGCAGCGAACGGGUGAGUAACGCGUGGGGAAUCUGCCUUUGAGCGGGGGACAACAUUUGGAAACGAAUGCUAAUACCGCAUAACAACUUUAAACAUAAGUUUUAAGUUUGAAAGAUGCAAUUGCAUCACUCAAAGAUGAUCCCGCGUUGUAUUAGCUAGUUGGUGAGGUAAAGGCUCACCAAGGCGAUGAUACAUAGCCGACCUGAGAGGGUGAUCGGCCACAUUGGGACUGAGACACGGCCCAAACUCCUACGGGAGGCAGCAGUAGGGAAUCUUCGGCAAUGGACGAAAGUCUGACCGAGCAACGCCGCGUGAGUGAAGAAGGUUUUCGGAUCGUAAAACUCUGUUGGUAGAGAAGAACGUUGGUGAGAGUGGAAAGCUCAUCAAGUGACGGUAACUACCCAGAAAGGGACGGCUAACUACGUGCCAGCAGCCGCGGUAAUACGUAGGUCCCGAGCGUUGUCCGGAUUUAUUGGGCGUAAAGCGAGCGCAGGUGGUUUAUUAAGUCUGGUGUAAAAGGCAGUGGCUCAACCAUUGUAUGCAUUGGAAACUGGUA
rnacentral:rRNA from 2 species